rnacentral:lncRNA from 1 species
AAUCGUGUAUUGUUACAAAAUGGCCGCCGUGUAGGGACGCUGGUGACUCCACCUCGAGCCAUUUCGCCUUUCUUACAGAUACCCGUGGUCUACACGUCGAACAUGGUAUAUCACCUUCGGGAGAACGGAAGAUUACGCCAAAAUGGCUAAAUCCAAGGUAAAGUUAAUGAACAUCUUUGACGUGCAAAUGGCGAAAAAUAUGCUCCAAGAGUCCGCCAUGGUGGGAACCACUCCUCUCUGCUCCACCUCUGUGUCCUUCUUCGCGCCGUGAGUAAAAAUAAGUUUUAUGGUAAAUGUGGAGUAGCGUACCAGAGCCUCAAAUUACCGAGUGGGAAAUGAUUAUACACGAGACGAAACAGAGCAAAUGUGUAAAUAUAGUUAGCCGGCUAUAUGCAACACCGGGAGCGCUCAAGAUGUGUUCAGGCACCGGUCGUAAAUUAUGAUGUCAACGCGCGGUAAUUUAUACGACCUUUUUAUAUUUCUAAAUCACUAAUGCAAAGUAUUUUAUCAAAUAAAAAAUAUUGAAGAGAAAAACAUGUAUGUAAGAAGCUAUUUAGAUAGUUUAUUGAAAUAUAGGCCGGCUAUGGUCCACUUUAUUUCCCUUUUCUCUUUGCUGAAUGUAUAAUUUCCCACCGCACUUGAUGUUGUGUUGCUGUGUAUGUGAGAGUAUGAGAGAGGGAGAGGAAUGGCUGCAAAAACAUAGAAAUUUAAAAUAAUAGUGAAUACAGUGAGUUUUAAAAAUCCUAGUGUAAGAUUUUAGCUGUGUAACAGGGUCAGUCAACCUUGGUUUAAGUUUGUAUCCCUACGGACACAUUGGGGGGUAACACUGGCCUCUAUAAGUGGCGUUUUUGCGCCAUUUCUCUUCCCUUUUAUUACCGAUCUCAGUGGAAGAGGUAAGUGGCUUUGUAUUAGGCUACAGGGAAAUUUCUGUUUUAGCCUCUGCUAAUCGCAUUUUUAGGUUCACUGGCUAGCUUGAAUUUAUUAUGAGACGUUUACUUUAUACUGAAACAAGUGUUUGUGUAAUUUAAUUUGUGUAGGGGCAUGUUUGUUGAAGUCACUGACCUAAAGAUUUCUGAGUUUUACACGGUUUCGUCAGGUAUGUUGUGUUCUGUUUGAACUAUUUAAUGUAUUGUUGUGCCCUUUUAUUACUGAUCUCUGUGAGAGGGGCAUGUUUGUUGAGGUCAGUGACCGGAGGAUUUUUGUGUUUUACACUGUUUCGUCAGGAGCCGUAAAAAUAGAUGGAGACCGCCUCAAGAAAAAUCGACGCGUAGUCUUACCUCCAAACACACACACAAUGCAGAGUCAGACGUAACCGGUUACUCCUGGUUAAACCUGAACUAAAAAGAAAUAUUAAGAAAAUACUUGAUAAUGUGUUUUCUUUUUUUCUUCAGUCAGCAUUAAUGCAUUUUAUUAGAAGGGUGUGAGAUUUCUGUGAGUAAUAUCGUAUUGUGAUAUCGAGAUAUAAAUUGCAAUAUCGAAUUUUAUCGUAUGGUUCUGAAAAUUUCAUAUCGUGACAUCCCUGGCGGCGAUGGUAGAAAAACAUGGAGUCAUAACAACGACACAGGGGGGAUUCUCCAUCUAGUGGCGCUAAUGGGUACUGUGGUUAUAUCACAUUCAGCAGACGUUGUUACAGCGGGCCUACGAUCAUAUCGGUAUGUUUAGCUUAAGAUGCAUGUGGUGCAUCAAAAGUUUUAUUCAAGUAGCAUAGAAAGGGUGGAGUCACAGAGACAGUUGGAGGUGCAGGUAACCUCUCUGUGUGUGGUCUUUAUUCAUCUCAAACUGCGUUUUUUUUGUGUGUCUCAUUUAAACAGGUGUAGUAAACGGGUUCAGUUUCAUGUCUGUGAACGUUGAUGUGCUGUCCUGAUUUACAUUAUGGUGCAGCACAGCCAAACUGUGACUUCAUUUAAGUCUUUUAUUGCAUCUUAACCUCCUGCAAACGGGAUAAUCUCAGUUUACCUGCAGCUUGAGUUUCAUGAAUGUUUGUUUCCCAGGUUUUUGUACCAUAUGUGUGCAUGGAAACUCAAAAAUGAUAAAUGUCUUUAACUAGUUACAAGUUUGAGGGUAAAUUCAGGAAAAAGUGAGCUCUCCUGUUGGUCGAGAAAAGAGAGUGCUGGAUGCUCUCUGAAAACAAAUUAUCAGAAACAAACAGAAACCAAUAACCUGUCCUCCCCCCUCCACCUCCUCUUCCUCUUCCUGCGCCCUCCAAAAUGUAAAAAUUUCUCUCGGUGGCAUCAACACCCUGCAGCCAUAAACGGCAGCAAAUAUUAACAGAGAAAAGAACAACAUCAACACCAAACAGGGGGAUGAAAUUUCACCGUGAGGGCGAAAAUGAGAAACGACAUAAUAAAGCGAUUCUAUUAAAAAGCCAUCUGACCGUUAAUAAAAGUAAUGAUUUGAUGAGAACGUCCCGCCGCAGAGCCAGAGGCGACACAGGACGAGGAGGAGGAGGAAGAGGAGGUUCGACCGCCUUUUAUUUUCACGCUCUCACAUUGGCGAGGAGAAAAAUGAGCCGAAAUGUGUGUGAGGAGGGGUACAACGUAAAAAACAAUCACUGCCGCUCCCAUCUCUGACUUAAUGAGAUUUGCUGUUUGCUGCCGUGGCCGGGGCGCAGGUAUUAUUUGUUGUUGGAGGUGAUGGCAGGAUUGGAUAAAACACAUCUCGCAGCCGGCCGUCGCCUUUUCUCAUCUGCUGCAGAAUAUCAGACUCACCUUCUGUCAGUCUGCAGCUCCAUGCGUAGGUGGUGGUGGUGGGGGUGGAAUUAACAGUGCAGCUACACAUACAGCAUCACACAAGAUCAAGAUCUGUGUUAAAAUCAGUGAUCUGUACUUUUAUGUUUAUCAUUAUAACGUUUGAGACGAGAUUUCUAUGACUCUUAGUAUGACAGGCCAAUCAGGGAUCAGCAGGAGAAACAGUCAGUAUGGAGAGCAAAAGCAGGAGGAACACAGUCCACCUCCCGUUAUAGCUGGAAGGCCAACAGUCCAUAAGAAGACGAUAAAUCUAUACGUCAGGAACCAGGAGAUCACUGAGCUUAAACAAGAGUCUGAAUAUGAGCUCAAUAUGAGAUCUGCUGCAGAAGUCUUCCAGUUUUAUUACAUUUACAGCACACACACACACACACACACACACACACACACAGAUGGAUGGGGCUUCAUGUAUCUGGAUAAUAAGAGUUGGUGUUUGUGUAAGGAGCUUGAGGGUCCAAACAGCCGCUCAUCCCUCUGAGCCGGAUCUUAAUGAACUCUCAGCUCCAGAAAAACACAGAGAGGAGGAAGAAGAAGAGGAGGAGGAGGAGGGGUACGAGGGGAGGCAGGAGCUCGUAGGAACAGAAGUAGGAAAUCAGAGGGAGAAAAGGAGGCGAUGAGGAAAAGAAAGGAAGGAAAGAAGACAAGGAGGAGGGAGAGAAAGAAAGGGAAGAUUCAGAAAAGAAGAAAAGGAAGGAUGAUGAAAAGGAGGACAAGAUAACUGAGGAUAAAUGAUCAGAAAAGAGGAGGAGGAAGAUUAUUUUUGUUUGAUGAUCUUGAUUUUAGUCUAACUUUGUUAAACGUAAGAACUUUCAUUAUCGUUAAUUGACGAAUAAUCAACUUUUCAUUCAUUUAAAAAAUACAUCUGAAAACCCAACAAGACAGAGCAGUUUAUUCCUGUUUUUAUUAAAAAAGCCGUGGAUACGAGAGAGGGGGAGAGUCUCCAUCAAGCAUGGUAGGAGUGAACCGCGUUCAGUGGAUGCUGCUCUGUUUUUGUUAAUGAAGGCCCACAACCGUCAGAGAUGUAGGCGCCACCGUGUCUGGGUCUCCUCCAAUAGCUGCGCCCAGAUGAUGUCUGUUUCCAGUGGUAUUCACGGGUCACCUGAACCCAAUUUGACGACCUGUUGGUGAGGGCAGUGCCAGGAUAUCCCUACAGGGUACCGAUUACAGGCGCUCUACCCCAGCUGCAGAGCGUCUGUCCAUCUGUGAGUGAAAGGAUUUGUGUUUAUAUUUUCACACUAGGUCUGUUUUCAUACGUCUCCCAGGAAUCUUCAUGCUGAUUGGUUAUUGCAACACGAAUAUCUGCUCAAAUUGAGAUAUUUUCAACUCUUGCGAAUUCACAUGCGUUCAAUUCGUGUCAUUCGCACCGCCAGAGUAGUACAAGCGUCUAAUCGCGUCUUUGCGUUGACUUAACAUGUAAUUCAUUCACGCGAUAAUUUUACUCACAUUUGGUGUGAACGCCCCAUGAAAGAGGACAGGUCUCCUCAGGACCAACACCCGAACCAAAGGCAUGAAACUUUCAUACAAAAGCAUCCCAAAGAGCCUGUCCAGCCACCCGCAGCCUUCAUUAAAGUGAUGAGGAGAGGAAAGAAGAGCAGGAAUCUAAAAAUGGUGUCUGGUCUUAGAUCCAUACGUCCUCAGCAGCAGCAGAGAAAAAACAAAAGGCUGUAAUUACACGAAGCUUUCCAGGCCUAAUGUGGGAUUGAUUGGUAACUGCAGGACAUCCUUGAACCAGAUCCUUAAAAAUGAAGAGAACUGUGCCUUAAGUGAAUUUAAAAAUGCAGGAAUAAUUACACAUAUACUGCAAACUAAUUAAGAAGCUGUGAACUCUGCGGCCUCCUUCCUCCCUCGCAGUGAUUACACGACUCAUAAUUCACUCUCCACGCUCGUUUUUCUGCCGCGAACGGAUGGAAGCAAACCGGACCGAAAUGGACUCGUGACAUCAGCCGCGGACUUGUUAAAAAAAAAAAAAAAAAAAGAAUUAAAAAGGAAGAAAGUCAGACGGUGGUUACUAUUUCAAAGUCGUCAUAUUAAUUGUGUGGGAGAGAAAGUCUGUCUGCUAAGAAACAUGGAUUUUUUUAUAAUUCAAUGGAUGUAAUUUAUAUCUGCAUGAGGCUGCAGAAGAAGAAAAAGACCUCAGACCGGCAGAGUCCAGCCUGAACAGGGUCUGAAAUGAUACUGAAAACCUGAUUUAAGAGAAACACGUGGACUUAACUGAGGAGUCAUCAGGUCCGAAAACACCAACUGUGACACAAAGUGGGAAUAAUUCUGUUUAAUGAACAAAAAAAAAGGUUCACUGUUGGAGAAUUUUGAAGUUUGAUUUUUCUUUUUUCUUCUCUACUUUUAGAAAAGAUGAGACUGUAAAAAGGUGACUCGAACACCUGCAGGAGGAGGACGACGACAUCUGAAUCCACAACAGGUGAGCACAGAGAGAGGAGGAGGUAAGAUAUGUGAAUAUUUGACAUCUGUAGGACAUUUUCACUGAAUCUAAUACACAGUUUCAUAAACUAGAGGACCAUUUUUGCUAACAGGACAUCUGGAAAGAACUCUUUUACAUUUCCUGUAAUUUAAAGGCGUGUAAAUUGGAUUUUUUAAUGUUGUAUACUAGAGACAGGCACUUUUGUCAUACUUCCUUUAACAGAGGAGCAUCCAGACGGCAGUUUCUCAUAUUUUAUGAACUUGGAGGGAAUUACAAGUGCAUAUUUUUAAUGUCUAAUGCCCUCAAAGUGCAUCAAGGGGUCAUUUAUCUCUAUGUUCAAUUGUGGAAAUGGAUCCUAGAGGGUACGUUUUUCUGCAUUUCAUUUACUAAGAGGUCAAUUAGAGGAAAACUUCAUGAUUAUCAAAAUAAAAAUAGAUCUUUAAUGAUUCGAAUGUUGCUGUUUUUUCUAGAGAAAUAAUCAAAUGUCGUUUUCAGACCUUUUUUGAAAGCUCUGCUCAACAUGAAACCAAUUCUUUUUCUUGUCAUGGUGCAAAUAUUUGGAAAGGUUUUUAACGUCAUCCUUUGUGCGACUUCUGGACAGUUAGAAAUCGAGGGUUCGGAGCUGGAUUAAAUGAGCGCUUCUCUCUUUUAUUGUCAAUCCUCAGUAAUGCCUCUCUCUGAGCAGGUGACAGAGCGUCUGAGAAAGAGAAAAAAAAUAGGACAGGGGUUUUAAGUAGUCCUCCUCUCCUCUCUUUGUCAGAUAGUUUCUCCGAAUCUUCGUGCUGCUCGUCAAAGUCGACUCCCCUACGAACCCCCAACUCUUCCUUUUCUCUGUUGUUCAUUUUAAAGCUACAACCCACUGAUCAGUAACUUACAGGUGAGGAACACGCCCCAGUCAGACAAACAUUCGAACCCGACUCCCCUCGUUGACCACGUUGGCGUUUUUGUCACGACAUUCCUGCUGAUAAAAUCACAGACACUCUUGGUCCCCUCUUCAUUGAGGAUAUUCUUCUCAUCUCUUCUUUCACAUUAUCCCUCCGGUCAGCGACGGUGACUGAAGGCUCUUUAAAAAGGUGACACCUGACUGAAAAAGACUGCGUUUCGUGAAAUCUGUCCGUCGGCUAAAUUAGAACUGAUCACAGCUUCAGAGAGAAAAAACCUGCAAGAGUCUCAGAGCACAGAUUCACCAAAAACUGAGUUUUUUAACAGGUGAGUUCCAAGACUACAAUAUAAAUAUGUAUAAUUAUAUAACCAGAGCAGUUUUCUUCAUUUCUUCAUUGUCAGUUUACUGAAGAGAUCUUAAAGCUGAAUAAAUAGAUUGUUUUUAGCAGAGAGAGGAGGAUUCGGUCCGUUGUCUCCGUGUGUUUCAGAGAAACUAAAGCAGAGUUUUAAGGAGCUGCUUUAACAUUCGCCCGUGCACAUAUAUUCCCUGCCUGUUUUAGUUUACUAAACGCAGUCAUACCCGUGUUUUUUUCAUUACCAAACUAUAAAUCACUCUCUUUAUUAAUCUGAGUGACUCAUAUUGACGUAUUUAGAGUGAAAUAUUAUGACGUUUUUUUCUGAAUCUAAUCCAGGAGCAGGAGGACACUUAAAUCCUGAGUAUGCAAAACCAGCUUCAGGUGUGUGAUCUGCAGAAACCACAGGACCUCUGUUUGAUCACACGUUCACCUGCGGUACACCUCCUCCUCCCUCUGAGCAUUAACACACCCGACAGACCGGCUCCUGAAGUGGCCCGCGGUGAAACCAGGCUGACAGAGCCCCGCCGCUAAUCCGGCGUUAGCGUGGUAGCUUCUAGGCUGGCGUCUCUCCCAGCUGGAGUAAAUACCUGCUCACGCCUCUCAGAUAAGCAGCCCAGAGCCGCGGCUUUGCCGUCUUUCCUCCACGACUUUCGCCUUAAUUAACUCCAUCUCUGAGACGAGGCUGAGCGCCAUGAAGACGCCGCUGAGAGGAGCUGAGGGGGGAUUUUAAAAACACACACAGUAACAAACACGAGGCUCCGAUAAGCAGACUGUUUCACUGCUGCAGACUCUGGAGAAACACAAACUUUGAGCAGGUUUCCAGAAAAAUGAUGAUAAAAUUAUAUAAAAUUAUAAAGAUGUCAGGUUUAAAUGUUCCUGCACACAGACCCGCACUGAGCAUGUGCAGAGUCUCUAUCAGUGCUGUUAAGUCCAAAGGUUUUCCAGACUGUUGCUGGGUUUAUGAGGACUCUGUGGUUUAGGGAUGUAUGUCUCCACCACUGAGGUCGAUUCGGUACACAUCUCGAUACGCUGCCAUCGAUUCGCAACAUUAACGAUACACUGAGGCUCCCGUCGAUACGAGGCGAUUAAAAAAUUAUUUGAUAACGAAAAGACUUCAUUUUAAAAAGAUUUGGUUUUAAAUUAAGUGGUCAUUCGAUACAGUUAGUUGCGGUAGGAGAGAGUAUUUGCCCACAUCGUGUUUCUUACCUUAAAAGCACAAUUGUGCUUUACUCUCUGUAUUAAUCUGAGGGAUGUUUUUAAUAUUUGGAGGUUUUUUUAUGGAGCAAACCAAGAAAUCGUUUGGUUUAUGAUUCAGCGUACAGACAGAGCAUCCAAUUUUAUUUAUAAUAAAAACUCUUAAUUUUGUUCUCUGUCUCUAUGAUUAUACAAAAUGUAUAAAACUUCACAGCUGAACAGUUUCAGAAAGCGCAGUAUUAUCAAUGUGCAGAGUGCAAAUAAUAUGACUAGAAACACAUCCUACUGUCAGAGGAGAGGGGAGCAGCCGCAGAGGUUUCCACGGCAUACCGUCCUUUCAUGUGCGUCUCCAGGUUCGUUGUGCUGCUGACGUUCUUGAUAGACGCACGGCAUUGUUUGCAAAUUGCGUGCGUCUUGUCAAGUUGACCUCCUCGCUUAAAAAAACAGAAUUAUUGCCACACGUUUGAUUUGUGUGUCUUUUUUGGUGCAUUAAAUAUCUCGUCCCUGAUACCGUCGUUCUCGUUUGCCUCCAUACUUGUUGUGUUCAACACCUGCUUGCGUCAGCACCCGAGGACGCGGCGGUGCAUUCAGGUUACCUCAGAAAAGAGGACAGGUAAUAGAUACUAGAACACGAAACAAUCGAUUUAACAAUAUUUACCGCUGCAGACAGGCUGGAAGAGACGCACCGAAAAUUCACCCAUAAAUAAUAUCCAACGCUCCAUGAAUCUACGGGUGCAGUCGCAUCGCAAACGUUUCCACCGAUAUGAAUCGGUGAAUCUUGACAUCCCUACUGUGGUCCCCCGUUUCCAUCCUCCAUGAACAUUUUCAUCAGGGCUCUGCAGACAAAGAGGAACUUCAGUCUAAAGUCUCCGACUAAAACAGCCCCCACAGAUUCGGUCUGUUUUAUAUAGACUAAUCUGUAAAAAUGAAACAUUAAGAGAUCCAGAUCCAGGCUGUAGGCUUCACUGGGAGAACCCGGGAUCUCCCUCAGCUGGUCCUCAGGACGUCAACACCUUCAGUUGACUUUCUUUGUUUCUGUGGCAGGAUGAUUCUGUUUAUUCAGCGCCAGUCCAGACUCCUCCCUCUUUUGACCUCGAAUACCUUUGAUAAAACAGAAAGACUCUCUUCUGUUUGAAAGGUUUCCCAUCCUGUGACCCCCGUCCUUCAGGUCCUGUUUGUGGGGCCUGGUCUCUAAUAUAAGCCUGCUUCAUAUAAAGGCCUCAGACCAUAGACUGUACAGACAUAGAAAACAUGGAACAACCCCUUCAUGUCGCUGUGUUUAUUUUAUUUUGUUGGGGUAAUAAAUAUUAAACAGAAAAGAGUCAGAGGAAGAGUUUCUGAGUGAAAAUCUAUAAGUGUUGAAGAUCUUUGGAGAGCGGGGUCCAUCGACACUGAAGCUGGAGAUCUCCAGGAUUACAAAUAUUUCUUUCUUUCUUUCUGAGUCGAGUCCAUCCCUCCACUUUCUGCAGAAACCUUCAGGUGUGUAAAAAAAAUCCAGCUUCAGCCUGAGGAAAAGAGAAAAACAGAGAGACGUUAGAUUUCCAGCAGCUCUGCGUCCCUCAGGCUUCGUCUUCUGUUCUCUCGUCAAAACGCCGUAAACUCUGAACAUCUCCGACCUCUUCAUGCUCCUUUGAUCACUCCGCUCACCUCUUUGUUUUGCCUCAUCCUCCCCGAGACGUUUUCAUCUCUAUGGUCUUCUCCAGAAACCGUCCGUCUCCAUGAUUACCAAACGUGUUAGGAGCUUGAUUCUGAUUGGUCGAAAGCUUCCAGACCUUCACAAUGAUGCUAAUUUAAAGUUCGUGUUUAACGAGCAGCAGAAAAAAACCUCAGCUGGAAACUCCCAGAGGUCAGCAUUACUGCAGCUACAGCCCCUCCCAGAGGCAACACGCCACCUUUCCCAAGAUGCUUUGCUGGAUGCAGAGUCAGGGGAGAGAGGAGGAUUAUAGGGGCCUGGGAGACCAGUUAGGGUCCUUCUCCUACCCAUUAAAACUUCUCCUGUCUCAGGCUGCGGUCCCUGUCGCAGCUGUUUGGCUGAAAAAACGCCACAGUCUGCUGUCGACGCCGCCGCCGCUGCUGGCCGGCUGCCUAAUGGCCGCCAUGAAAAGAAGCAGAGGAGGAAAGAAAAAAAGCAGGAACACUUGAGACGGUCCUCCAGGCUCCCAGGGGCCCCCGGGGCCAAGCACAGGGCCUGAGAACGAAGAGACUGUUGAUCUAGGACCCUGAACGGAAACAGACUCCACACUGUAAAAAUGCGAUCGUCAAAACCCGCCACUCAGACUCUGGAGCCGUCUGUGAAUAAAACUGUUCGAUAGUUUCUCACUCUAACGAGGACGACAUACGCAAAGACUGCUCUGUCCACAGGGGGCGCCAGAGUCAUAGAUUUAGGAUACCAGGAGGCGUGUUUGCAGACGGACUGUAACUAUCAGGAUUAUCUCCACACUUUCUGGUCCAUCCUGUCCUCACUCUCCUUUCACAUCCGUCCGUCUCUCAGGGACUGUAGAGCGCUGUCUUCUUCCUGUCCUGCCUCUGAAUCAGAGUCCUCUCUUCCUGUUUGAAUCCCGGCCUCUGAUUGGUUGAUGUUGCCGCUCUCAGGUCCAGGUGUCAGCCUCAUCCCGCUCCUGUCAGUGGGAUUCACUCAGAGCGACACAUUCAGGGACGUGGAGAAGUUUUACAGCUUCAUUUGUCGGCGAGGACAAAUCGGCCGAGAUCUCGCCGGCUGAGAUUAAUGGCACGGCAAAUCAUGGCUCAUGUUGCCGCGGCGACAGGCGUUCCCCGGCUGCCGUUCCCCACGGCUGCAGCUCAUUUAAAAGCCGUAUAAUCUCCACGGUGACGGAGUUGGGGAGGGGGGGCACAUCGCUGGACCAGGACGCCUGACAGCUGCAUUAAGGCCUGCCAGGGCCGAUUCAUGCCCACAACAACCCCCUCCCAUCACCCAGUAUCAUCUCCCAGCAUGCAUCAGCGACAGAGAGGAGAGAGAGGAGGCUCUUAUGGAAGCUGCUGAUGUCAGAGGAGAUACCCCCCCAUCAUUCAGGACUCUGAUUUAACCUUCAGUUCUCCUGAAAAUCCUAAAAUGCUGCAGACUGAGAGAAAUAAAUCCAGUUCUGAUCCAAUCUGUGAUUUUUUAAAGUUCUUGUCACCAAUCAGGACGGACUUUAUUAUUAUUAUUAAUACUGAAAUGUGAAUAGGGUUGCAAAAUUCUGGGAUAUUCAAAGUUGGAAACUCUCCAUGUGAAUUAACGGGAAUAAAUCUAAAAUGUCAUUGCAUUAGUGUUUUUACAAGAUUUUUUGUUAUUUUAUUCAACAGUAAAAUGUCACGUUUGCCAUCUGAUGUGUGUCAUGUUUUUUAAUUGUAUUAUUUCACAUGGAUGUCUGUUUAUGACAAAACAAAAAUAUUUACAUUUAUGUUUGGAUAUGAUACAGUUUAUUCAAAUAACCCCUAUUUUCAGCUAAUUCCAGUAAAUUCCCAUGAAUUCCCAUGAAAGUUUCCAAUUUGGAAUAUUUCCAAAAUUCUUUUUUUUUUUUUUAACUGCUUUUGAGUUAAAACGAUAUCAGCAGUCUGCUCACAGUAUAGAACUAAAACAGAUAGAUUUGUUUGAACUGGUUCAUUCUAUUCACCUUUCGGUUAAUUAAUACACUGACACACAAGACCAUUUUUUUUAUCACAUGUACCCACAAAGAUUUUAUUUCAAUGUUUAAAAACAUGAUUAAAAACUAACUUCGUUUCAUUCUGCGUGCCUGCUGGAUUAUUGUUUCAGUUAAAAGAGUUUGGGGUCUUUAAAAAGGGGGGUCCUCUAAAACCUGGGUCAUCGUUUCAUGGUAUGGUAUGGUCUUUACUGUCAUUGCAACUGUGCACAACGAAAUUUCAUUUACAGAUGGGGAAUGUAUACACAAGAGGGAGGGAGACGACGAGGUAAAAAAAAGAGACUGCUCUCAUUAAUAUGAGUGCAGUGACGGAGACAUGCUAUGGUUGUGUGUGUGUGGGGGGUAGUGGAAUGGGUCAUCAGUGAUGGUGGGAAGCCCACAGCUGCUGCCCACGGGCGCCAGUCAGGGUACCAACCACCGCACUGAGGGGUGAAGCGUCAAAGGUGUUGGUUGGGGGAGAGGUGAGUGUGUGCGUAUGUGCAUGUGUGUGAAGGUUCAUGGAUGCAUGUGUGCGUAGGCCCAGGAGGUCACUUCGUCCAUCGCCACAAUCUUGGUGACCUUGAUUGAGUUUCAGACGAAGUCAACAAUCCGCAGGUGUCCGUGAAGGAGGGGGUUGGGGAGGAAAGUUCAGAGCGUCGAAUUGCUGAGAUCUCCUGGAGGAGUUCUGCCAGCAUCGACCUUGGCCAAGGCCGAUACCGAGGGAGCCGAAUAGUAGAUUAGAAUAUUUGGGUUAGAGCGAGUGGCCACAUUCCAAUAGACUUCAGCUGCUCUGAUUGUCCAUCCUGGUCUCUAUAUUGAUCCACUGUCUUUUGCAAAGUCAACAGCCUCUCCAAGAUGACGUCUCCCUUGCGAUCCCCAAUCAUGACUUGAUGUUCAAGACUGGAGACCGCCCCAGAAAGAGUUCCUACGGCUUUGCCCACCUCAAAAAUCAUGACGGGCAGCCUUUGGGGGCUCUUGACCGCUGCCAGCAUCUCCUUGUUUUGUAGAUAAAUCAGCAGUCUGCUUACAGUAUAGAACUAAAACAGAUAGAUCUGUUGGAACUGGUUCAUUCUAUUUACUUUUCUAUUCAUUAAUACACUGACACACAAGACCAUUUUUUAAUCACAUGUACCCACAAAGAUUUCAUGUCGGGGCAGGCAGGUUCCCCCGAAACCUCCAAUCUUGUCAAUUGUGUUGAGAGACUAGUUGAUCAAUUCCAUGGUUGGUUUCGGAGAUCAGGCAGUGAGAAGCUCUAAGGGUUUCAGACAAAACGGAAUACACAAUCGUGACAUGUUUGGGUUUUCUCCACAUGUUGUUGGUUUGUGGCACGUUAACCUUUUAUUUCCUCUGAGUUGGUGUUUUGUCUCGUUCAGGUGCGAAGCUGAGGGAUCCUCUGUAGUUCAGAUAGAGGAUAAAAACAGAAACUGAAGUGUGUUCGAACCUCCAGCCUCCCUGCAGACUCGGGGAAGUGUGGGUCAGCGGUUAUUCCUUCAUCUGUCUCAGUUCAGCAGUGAAACUCCCACCAGCUCUGAGUGUGUUCUCCUUCAUUUCCUCUUCGGAGUCUUCAUCUGUGGUUCAGGUUUCAUGAAAAGGCCAAUCAGCCUCUUCGAGUCGCCGCUUUAUGAUGCUAAGCAGAGCAAAUGUGGUUACAGAGAUCUGGUUAGGGAGAAAUGAUUGCUUUUCAGGAAGAAGUCAAACCAAACGGAGGUGCUAAUGCCGAGCAAUCUGAAGAACAACAGAGGAAUAAGCACAUUUAAUUUACAGCAGAAUCAAAUCGAGCUUCAAUUAGAGAGCCGCGGUCUUCUUCAGUGGGUGAAACCUCCUCUGAGGACGGACGGGAGAGGAAAACAACAAGCUGUCUGACGGCGACGCCAUCACAGCUGCUCUGUUACAGACAAACCCUCACUCCUCCUAAAAUCCCCGCCCACCUUUACAGGUGAAAGCUGAGGGCCCAAUCAGGAGGUCCCUGCUCUGAGCCGCAGGAAACACUCCACCCACCAAACUGUCCUCUGCUUCAGAGGAGGGAGAGGAGGUGGCGAGGAGGCAGCCGGCUAAUUAAAAGAGUCUAAUUAGAGUGGCGUCAGGCAGGUCAGCAGGCCACCGAGGACGCCGCUCUGCCUCUGACAUCAAAACAGAAUCGGACGGCGCAGGGAGAGAAUUCACACACUAAUGUUGAAUCACAACAGAAACCUGGAUCCUCCGUCUCCUCCUCAGAUGUCCACCCUUUAACUCUCUGAGCACAAAAACACAAAAACUGACGAGAAACAACAAGAAGUCAGGAACCUGAUCGGCUUCACUUUACUAUGAUCCAGAUCAGCUUAGAUGACCCCCUCACUCCCAUUUUUCAGCGCUCCAAUCCGCAACGGCAGCGAUUUUCACCGUCUGCCAAUUCCUUACACAGAUUCGUGUACAAUCGCGCCAUAACAAGUUGUCUCUCUAAAGACAGACACAUAGACAUAUAAGCAGUAGAUUGUGUCCUUCCAGAGGAGGAAAUCUACUUCUAGACUUCUAGAAUCAGCAUCUCCUCAUCCAUGGUGUCAUCGGGGUGAAAUGACGUCUAAAAACCUUUCACUUGUUCGUCUCCGCCCGUUUGCAUGGUGUGAAAUACGAUCCUCCUGAAACACGGAGUGUUUUAUUUUGAAAAGAAGCCGGAUGUUUUAUUUUGAAAAGAAGCCGGAUGUUUUAUUUUGUGUCUGUGCCCGACUUCCUUUCCAGCACGGGUUAAUCUGUGCUGAAUUUAUCCGCCAUGCCCCGGCGUCCAGAAAGCCAAUGGAAAUUGACACGUCAGCUUGAAUGGUUAUGAUCAGCGGAUACAACCUUUUAGGAGACGUUCUGGAUAUGGUCCAUGCUGUGAUUUCCGCUCCUGAGUUCUGGAGUGGAAAUGAAGGUCUGAGGUGGAAUUUGGGAAAAGCAGUCACACCUGUUUCACCUGCAGCCGCCGACUCUCGCUUCCUCCUCAAACACAGAGCAGAUAGCCGAGCUCCACCCUGUGAUCCCUGAUCCUACGCCCUCCAUUAAUCCACCAUAAUGAGGAAGUUCUCCACCUGACACAGGGAUACCUCAGGUAACUCCAGAAACCUGUCAGAGGGACCAAAGUCUCCGAGUGGUGGAGUCCAGUUCUGGGAGUGUGAGAAGGUUCUUGAGCAGGACAUCCAUGGUGAGGCGCUCCACCCUCAUCCAGAGUUCUGCACUGGUCUCACACUCACAGCCGAGCAAACACGGGUCCAUCGUACCGCCAUUGACUGUCCAAUCAACACCCAGAUAAGAACUGAGGUCAGCAGCAGCAGAAGAAAACGAGCCAAGAUGUCAGCACCUGUUAAUGAGGCUGUUUGAUCAAACAUGUGAUCUACAUGUGGAGUUUUUUUGUCACCCGCCACCAUCAGAGCGCCGUUUCUGUACGGCGGCGACAGAUUUUUGAUUAAACGACCACUUUGUCAUGCGAGCGGGACGUAAUGCAUCAACACAGGUGAGCGUGGAGCCUGUUGUGAGUUUAUCAUCCUGACUGCUUCAAAAAUUGAAAUGGGUUAUUUAUCGGGUGUUGUGUCACACACACACACACACACACAGAUCCCAUUCCCCAUCUGACUGUGCCGCUCUUAUUAUUAUUUUUAUUAUUAUUAUUAUUUCCCUCUCUUCUUUUUUUGACAGAUUGCCCGAGCCGCAAAUCGUCAGCUGCAGCCCAUUAGUAAUCCUCGCCGCCGCCACGGCCGCCAUGGCCGCCAUGGCUGUGAUGUUUAUUAUUUCCCAGCAGCAGGACGGAUAAUUUAUGAGGGGAAACCUGCGGGUCUCACACAGGAAGCAGGUCACAGCAGAUAUUAAAGUCAUCAAAAGCAAAUCCAGCAAAGUGACUCCGACAGCGGCGACUAAAAAAGGUACUGUGUCAUAUCACAGAGGCAUGAUGGGAAUACAGAUCCAUGAGGGCUGGGUGAGAAAAACUAUGAAAAAAGAGAAGAAGAAAUAAAAUAAAAAAUAAAAAAAACAAAAGAGGUCUGUAAAAGAAAGAAAUUAUCAGUGAGAGGAGAGAUAAAUAUCUGCGUCUGUCUGAGCAGCAGAGGGCGCUGUCUGACAUUGGACCGGUUCAGUCCAGUUUCACGGAAAACAAGCCGAUAAAAGUUCAACCUGGAAAUCCAACAAAGUCCCUCCUUACAUAAACAUGAUCAGCCAAUCAGAGACACAGCUGACCUGACUGACAGACGGGCACACUGUCGCUUAUAUAAGAGGAGACUCAUGCCGCGUUUGAGUUACCUCUGAAGUCAGACGUAAGAGCUGAAAAUGACGUCACACCGGAGUUACAAGCGUUUCAGUUACCAAGUUGGAAAAAGGUAAAAUCGGAGCCGAAAACAAGAUGGCUACAUCUACGAAAGUUAUUUGAGCGCUUGCCUUAUAUUCGGACAAGGGAAGAGCUGAAAUAAUUUCGUAGACGUAGCCAUCUCGUUACAGGCCUCUGAUUUUGCUUUUUUCCGACUUGGUAACUGAAACGCUCGUAACUCGGGUGUAACGUCAUUUUCAGCUCCAACAUCUGACUCUCUAGGUUAACUCAAACGCAGCAUUAAGGCCCGCCUCUGGUAUGGAGUCAGCUGCUUAUUGGCUAAAAACCUCUGCCACAGAAAGAAACAGGUGACAACACCGCCACCAUGACCUCCACUGAUUUUACAGUUAAUGUGUUUUUCGGCGAUUUGAUGAGUUAAAUUCACUAUUAUUUCUGCUUACUUUAAAAAGGUUUGUAGCAGGAUUUAAAGAUGGCGGUUGGUGGUUCUGAUUUUACUCUGCAUCCUGAACCUCUGAAAACAGGACAGCUCGUUUAAAGAUUCCCUGAUAAAAACGUCCCUCUCCUUUUGAACUGUCGGACGUUUUAAACCUCAACAAUUCUCUGUUGGAGGUUUACAGGAACUGGACUUUGGUGUCGGACCGUUACGAACCCUGAGAGGAGGAAAUGUGGACGUGUACAAAUGAGGCCUCAUCUUAAAUGGGUCUGUUUUCUUAUUCAUGAAGGAUUGAUCGAGCCGCGGUGUGGAAGAGAUGAAUGAAAUAUGCAUAAAGCAGCCGUACUGUACCCGCUCGCAGCCGGACUGAUGAUUAAUUUCAUUUAACCGUGUGUGGGCUCAUUGUGCUGCAGAGCCCGCCGUCUGAAACGGACCCGGGCCUGUUUUAGUGCUCAGCGGUGAGCCACAAACUUCUGUUUUGGUCCAAAUAUAAGAGGAUUAUGGGAUUAUAAUGUGACCCUCCCUUUUUAAGAUGAAAUUUUAAGGAAACAGUUUUUGAAGUCUGUAACCUGCUUCUUAUGAAAUCGACUUUGAACACCUUUGGAACAAAACUCUGAGGUCAGUACAUCUGAUUUAUUUUAAGAGUCACAUGUAGGGAUGGGUGUCCAGACCCGGUAUCAGUAUUAGACGAGAACUUAAUAUUAAUAUAAUCAGAUCAGCCAUCAUGAUAAAACGCACUCACUUACUGCAUCUCGUUAACGAUUUAAAGACCACCCGUUAAUCAUCAUUAGUUGUCAUUUAAGGGAAUCAAGCGGCUAAAUUAAACAAAUUGAGUAAAAUACACGAGCGAGUUUGCAGCACAUUAAGGUCGCUUCUUUUAUAAGUAGCAUGACGAUAUCCAAUCAGAACAGAGAUGCCCCUGUGACAUAGGUAGUAGGUAGUAUCUCUAGUACGAGUAACCAGAACCGAUAUUGUACCAGUUGAGUUGUGUAAAAAGUUCUCGGCCAUCCAUGACUUUGUUUUAAAGUGUAUCGGCUGGACCUGUGUCAUCAAUGUAGAGCUGAGCGUCAUCUGCGUAACUAUGGAAGUUGAUCCUCUGAUGACAUUUCUAAGAGGCAUAAAGGUUCAAAAGUGCAGGACUGAGAAUUGACCCCUGGGGGACACUGUAAGUCAUCUGAAAAGCCUGAAUCCACACUGACAGACUUGAACCGCUCAAAAACAGCGUCAGAGAUGCUGGUGAAACUGUAGCGCCUGUCCAAGAGAAUUUAGCUGUCAACUGUGUGAAGCAGCACAAGAACAGAGAGCAUCAUCCGAUCCAGUCCUGUACGGUUCUGAUGAGUGGACGUGAAUUUCCCUGAAAGCAGAUUGAUAAACUUCAGAAGUGUCGAUCACCUGAUCACCUCUGCAGAGGAGGAGGAUCCACCACACUGACGAGGCGACAGCUGGAAGAGUUCGAGACCGUUUUGAGGAUGUUUGGACGGGACCUGAAAGACGGGCUGCUGGUCUCCGUUGGGCGGUAAGAACAUUCGAGCAUCAGGAAACUGCGUCAUGGUUCCCGCGUUCCCAGCGUUCAUGUCUGAGCACGCUCAGUUUCCACGAUAACCCCUCAGUCUGGCUCCUAAACAGCAAUAGAUGAUCUGAAGGCAGCCCGUGUCCCACUGCGGUUCUGUUGAUGUCAUUUUGGGUUUUGAGUGGGCCGCCUCAUUGGCUUUCCCCUCGCCUUCCUGUGGGAUCUCUAACCUGAUGUGAUCGUGCUAAGCGAGGCCGCUCGCCGCCCUGAAUAUAUUGCAGAAACACGGGCCGGCCUGCAUGGAAAUGUUCUGGUUGAGGGUACGGGCCUGCGGUGAUAGGAUCAAACACAGUCAGCUCUGAAAUGAAUAUAACACUUCAAGGAGCUGCAGCUUAUCACAGCCGGCUUAUCUGUGCUUUAUUUUACCUGCAGAUUGACAAGAGCGAUGGCGUCAGAUCCUAUCACGCACGGAUGUGUGUUGAGAGCGCUGGAAACACUGAUCAUUUCCCAUAAUCCUUUGAUUCUGAAGGAGGAAGGUCAGAUCUGAACAGGGAGCGGGGAUUUGGCCUCUGACAGAGAUACAAGCUGAAGGUUGGAGUGCUGAGAUCCAACAAAGUCAAAUGAUAACAGAGCGAGGAUUCUGAUGUACAAGCAGCUGGAGCAGAAUUGUUCUGGUACUGUCAGCGGUACUGGACUCAUCGAGUAUCUGAGGGGGUUACAGAUUUAUCUGAACAGUAAUAGACUCUGGACCAGGACUGAAGAAUUUCACACCGAACAGAACCAGAAAUAUAAACCCAGAGAGUCCUGUGUGUCUUAAAGGUCCCCUAUUAUGAAAAAUCCACUUCUUGGUGGUUUUUCUACCAAUAAUAUGCAUCCCCUCGAAGACGAAACCCCUCCUGACAUGAAAACAUUUCAUUCUCUCCCUCUCUUGCUCUCCCCUCCUUCCUGAAAACAUGAGCGCAAACGAGCGGAUGGAAAAGCUGUGCAGAUAUGACGACACAACUGCAUAAGCCCCUCCCACAUGUUAGUGGCAGCACCCCCGAUAUGUGUUAGCCUAGCCCUCUAAAACUUCUUCGCUGAGGUAACGUCCACCAUUUUUUCCCCUAGUACACGCCGCUCCGGUACAGCAACAACCAUGCCGAAGCUACGACCCAGCCGCUGCGUGGUUCUUGGCUGCACAAACGAAGACAGGAGUCUAUUUCUGCCUCCUUCAUCGGGAGAAUUGAGGACCCAGUGGAUUAAUUUUGUUUUACAACAACUCUUUCGGAUUCGCUAAGAAGUUAAGGAUAAAACCUGGAUCCAUACCGACUGUCCGUGUCAGAGACCUAACUUUAAACGUGGAAGCCAUAAGUUUUAACCGUUUAUGUCGCUUUACCGCCGUCCGUUGACUAGUGCUUUGGCUGCAAUUGCGCGUGUUUACCAUCAUUGGUCGUCGUCUUUGGACUCGCUUCUUUCUAAUUUUAUUCCCGUGAGCAGUGGGUGUUCCUCGGGGGCACAGAGGCAGGCUGGUGCUUCCAGUUGCGGUGGUCUCGAGGUCCUCAGAAGAUCUGCAGACCACUGCGGCUGCGCCGGCAGUUUAGAGUGGCCUUGGGGAGGAGGAGCACGAUUACACACAGCUCAUUAUUGUUUGAAGGUACAGGCGCAGAAUCAGACUGUUCUCAGUGGAGCUCAAAUGUACUAUUGUGGGACCUCUGGGACCAAUUUAAACUUGAUGUAAUAGGAACCUUUAACAAGAUUCAUUCAGAUCUUCACGUCUGAAACUUCUCUGCGUAUGCGAGGCACUCAAUGAACCCUUAAGGUCCAUUUUUUGGCUCCUCCUUUCCAUUCUCUGUCUUCAAAGUUGAUGGAAAGUCCCUCCCCUUCUUGAUUCUGAUUGGCUGUUGAUUAAAAGGUCACAUUUGUAUUUGCAGAAGUGGAACUUUUUUAGACUGAGGAUGCUGCUGAAGUGCAUUUACUUUGAAUAAGAACCUUUUGGAGCUGACUGAGUUUAAAACACGAUCAAUGAAAGUGAUAGACUGGGUAAGGUACAUGAGUGCAAUAACCUGCAUUCUUUUAAAUGCCCAGCAGAGGGCGACUCAACUGGUUGUAAAAAGAAAUGUUCAGUCCUGCCUCAUAAAAGGAUUUUGUGCACCGCUGUUGUUUUCAUACAUUUGAAUGAGCAUUUAUGCAAAUUUAAGACAAAUACUUGAAAUGAGGGAUGAAUGUUUCAAACUUAUUCAGCUCAUAAAAGUUCAUCUUUUGCUUCCAGCUGCAAAAAUAAAAACAGUUUUCUCUUCAUAUGGAGGAAAAAUCAGGGUUAGCUUUCAGACGUGGCUCCUCUGCUGAGCGACAUGUCUGAAUGGUCGCCACACUCUGAAAGGCUGACUGUGUGUAAAGGCGGCGGCGUUAAUACUCUGACAGAUCAUCUGAGAUCACUCGAUGACUCACAGCAGCACCUGCAGACUGGAGACCACUCUUUCUCUUAGCUGUAAUUUUUCUUUCUCUCUCUGUCGGACAGGAGAAGCGGCCGUGGUUGAGUUCAGGCGGUGACGGGCAGAGAGGUCUUAAAUGACGGCAGAGAGGAGGUGAUGGAGGAGCAAAGUGCAGCGCGGUGAUCGCUGAGUGAGAAUCGGCAGAAAGAGAAAAGAAACACACUUAAAACUGCAGCCGGCAGAGAUCUGUCUGACAUUUGGAGGCGAUGAGAGUGUCACCCUGUGAGCGGGCUGAGUGGGAGGAUAACAGGAGGACACAGCGCUGAAAUGUUUGAUUCCAGUCUUCAAACUUUACUCAAACUGAAGUGCUUCUGUAAGUGCCAGGAGGAGCAGAAAAUACAC